UCGGGAAUUUUGGGCAAUGGGGGCAACCCUGAUCCAGCAAUGCCGCGUGAGUGAAGAAGGCCUUCGGGUUGUAAAGCUCUUUUGUCAGGGAAGAAACGGUAGUAGCGAAUAACUAUUACUAAUGACGGUACCUGAAGAAUAAGCACCGGCUAACUACGUGCCAGCAGCCGCGGUAAUACGUAGGGUGCAAGCGUUAAUCGGAAUUACUGGGCGUAAAGCGUGCGCAGGCGGUUGUGUAAGUCAGAUGUGAAAUCCCCGGGCUCAACCUGGGAAUUGCAUUUGAGACUGCACGGCUAGAGUGUGUCAGAGGGGGGUAGAAUUCCACGUGUAGCAGUGAAAUGCGUAGAUAUGUGGAGGAAUACCGAUGGCGAAGGCAGCCCCCUGGGAUAACACUGACGCUCAUGCACGAAAGCGUGGGGAGCAAACAGGAUUAGAUACCCUUGUAGUCCCUGAG
rnacentral:rRNA from 1 species